GUGGGGAAUUUUGCACAAUGGGCGAAAGCCUGAUGCAGCGACGCCGCGUGGAGGAUGAAGGCCUUCGGGUUGUAAACUCCUUUUGUAGGGGACAAUGAUGAUGGUACCCUAUGAAUAAGCCACGGCUAACUCUGUGCCAGCAGCCGCGGUAAGACAGAGGUGGCAAGCGUUGUUCGGAAUUACUGGGCUUAAAGGGCGCGUAGGCGGUGAGAUAAGUCUGAGGUGAAAUCCUAUGGCUUAACCAUAGAAUUGCCUUGGAAACUAUCUUACUUGAGUCAGUGAGGGGAUGGUGGAAUUCCCGGUGUAGCGGUGAAAUGCGUAGAUAUCGGGAGGAAGGCCUGUGGCGAAAGCGGCCAUCUGGCGCUGAACUGACGCUGAGGCGCGAAAGCGUGGGUAGCAAACAGGAUUAGAAACCCUUGUAGUCC
rnacentral:rRNA from 1 species